UAGAUAAACAAUUUGGACAACAAAAGAUGAUUGUUGUGUGCGAUAGCUUAUAUUUGAAGAAGUACUAUAAUUGCGAUAUAGAAGGAAAAAAGAAGUUCAUAUUGUUCAAAUGGCAAGUUCGUAUUUUAUUUUCAAUGAGUUCUUUUUCUCUGCUUUGUGGUUUAAAGAAACGAAGAAGGCGUGGAAGUUAAACUUUAUUUUCCUGAUAGGUUCAGUUUGUCUCUUAUGCUUGUGAAUUUGAGUAGAUGUUGCACUCCAGUGAUAUGAUCGGUAAACGUAAACUCUCAAUGAUAUGCCAAAAUCUGUAUUUGGAGGUUUACUCUUGUGUCCUUGAGAAGUUCAUUAUUGGCGUUUUGGUUUGAUAAAAGAAGCUGAAAAUUUUGCUACUGUAUAAAAUAUAGAAAUCCAUUUGCUACUGUGUGAGAUGUUUACGUUAUUAUGUUGAUAAAGUUCAAUUCGUCUACAUGGAAUUUUUAUUUGCUGGAAGUUAACUUAUUUUUUACCGGGGAAUCCACUUUGUCAGUGUUGGGAGUCGACUUUCUACUUCCUGGUACAACCACUUCGUUAGUGAUGGGAGUUUAGUUUAGUGUUUAUUGUGAAAUUCAGUUACAGUUCAUGAACAUGAAUAUUCACAGUUGGGAGUUCCUUUUAUAUCUUCCGGGAGUUUAUUUAUCUUUCCCACUAUUUCAGUCUGAAAGCACACCACAAAAAUUAAAUUCAAACAAAAAAUACAAAAGUGUGUCUGCAGCUAUGAAGUUUACUAUUAUUGUUUUGAGAAGUCCAGUGUGAUAAAAAUGCAACAGUUCUCCUAGAGGAAAAGAAAACAGGAGUUCACUAUUCAGGUUACAUCGGUUUGCUAUGUAAAAUCACAGAAGUUUGGUAGAUAAAAUUAGAGGUACACUUUGUCCUACACGCAGAAUUCACAUUUUUUCUCAGAAAAGUAUAUAAUGUUAUAUGAAGUUCACUUUGUCCAUGUGAUAAAUUCAGUACAUUUACUAGGAAUUUUAAUUCGUCCACGUCAAAAAGUUCAUUUGUUCAUACUAAAUAGUCAGAUAAAAAACAGAAACUAACUCUUCAAUUUGUAAAAACAAAAAAUCUUUCUGAAGUUCACUUUGGUUAUAUUUCAAGUUCACUCUGGUCUAUGUGAGUUUAUGUUGCAUGCUAAUUUUACCUUAAUCACUAGCAACCUGAAAGGGUACUACAUUUCAUUUCCAUGUGAACUCUCUCGUGUGCAUAUUUUAUGAUCCAACCAUCACCAAUGAAAUAGCUCUCUCUUCUUAUUUCUAUGAAUCUGCAUAGUUUAUGAAGCAUGUAAAGUCCCUGUGGUUUGAUUUUAACGUUUACAUGCUUACAUACAAUCCAAAUCACCCAUUUUAAAGAAGUUGAACUAUUAUGAUUAAAAUUUCAAAAUUAGCUAUUCAUAUUGGAUUAUAUAAUUGUGCAGACAUGGAUCUUCAAAAGGACAUGCUCUCAUAUUGAAUAUUAUUUUGAAUUCGCAUUGGUGUUUGAACUUAUGAGCAUGAUAGAAGAUUCUGGAUAACUUUCUUGAACUUUUUACAGUGUACUUCUUAGCGAGGUUUUCUGAACUCUUUGAAAUGCAUAAGUGGAGAUUUAAUGCUAUGUAUUUUCUUGUUCUAAUUGAUUUGCUGGUUAGUUGGUACUUUUGUUCAUAACCAUGGAGAUAUUUUAGAAGUUCGGAAUUUUUAAAAGCCGAAGUCCAGUUCUACUCUUUUCUUUUUCAGAUAGUUCAUUUUGUCAUGCACCAGUGCUGUCGUCUCACAGUAACACAGGCUGAGCAGGUAGAGGUCAGUGCAGUUCAGACAUAAAAGUCGAGCAGUUCAGACAUGGUAGCAUGCAUUAUCAAGUGAUGGAUCAAUGUCUUUUUUCCCUACUUCCUUGCCUAUUAUGUGCAGCUUGCUAAUGCAGUCUUAAAGGAGUACGUUGAUCAGUAUAAGGUUUAAUAAUAUAUUACCUAUAUGGAUGUGAAAUGUUUAUUUAUUCAAUUAUACAUUGAAAUCAACAAAAAAAUAAUCACAAGGCAGUUCACAUCGUUGAAAAAUAGGCAGUACGCUCAUCCUAUUUUGGUAGUUCAUUAUAUAAAAUAACAAAAGUUCACUAUUUCUAUGAGAAGUUCAUUUAUUACUACAAAGGUGGUUCACUUUGUUGAUAUAAGUAUCAAUUCAUCAUGCUGAAGUUCCCUUCUUAAAAAUACAGAAUGAUUUUGCUACUGCCCCCUUAGUCUCCUACAUGAAUCUGCAUAAGUUGUUAUCUCGUGUUGGGUCAAAAUAUUUCUUUUCUUACUACCUUCACUACUAUUUGCAACUUGCUAAUACAGAGGAGUACACUGAUUGGCGAUUUUCUGGGAAACUAGGAGAGAUACUGAUAAGAAGUAUCCAGGUGUUCAUUCGAGCCUUGCAUGGAAGUUCACUUCUUAGUACGCUGACCACCGUCGGGAGGCCACAUGUCCCUGCAAUGGCAGUCUAGUGUGCGCCUGCGGGGAGUCCACAAGAAGAUGGUCGUAGCCGGCAGCCGGCUACAAUUCCUGCAAGGACGCCGACCCUGCUCCUAGAUUUCUGUGGUCCGCCCAGAGGAACCCUCCAACCAGCUCUCACACGGUAUCUCCUCUGAACUCUCGCACCUGAUGAAUUGUGUAUUUUUUAUAGCAUCGAGCGGCUCACUUGUUAACUUUGAGUAAUUCAAUUAGGGAAAAAAGGAGUUUGUAGUCCUGUAGAAAAAACAAUGUCUGGGGUACACUUGUCUAAUUUAAACAGUAAAUCUAUUUUUGUUUAAAACAGUGCAUUUGUUUGUUUACUUGCAUGUGAAAGUCAAAAUUUAUGAUGAAGUUCAGUUUUUAUUGCCAGGAGAGUUCACUUCAUUUGUCAGAGAAGGUUCACUUCAUUUUGCAGGUUGUGAUUGCUGAAUUGAACUGCUCCGCACGCCCUACCACAGCUUACAAGUUCACGGUCGCCUCCCUCAAGAGCCCAUCACACUCCGCUGUGCAUUCCACCUUGGGCGUCGUCCUGAAGUACACCUUGCGCCCCUUCUCCCGCGCUCGGCUGUGACUCCUCCUAAGCUUCGCUGAUAAGUUCAUUUGCUUCCUAAUAUGGAGGUGUACAUCGAUCGACAAUUUUCUGGAAAACUAGGAGAGAUACUGAUAAGGUAACAAUCCCAGCGUCAUGGGUCUCUCGUCAAGCAGAGCUAAGGCGAAAAGUUACUCGACGGGGACACGACCUGAUCCAGGUGUAGACUUUGUGAUGGAUACGUGAGUGUACUCACUUGGCCACCAGGUGCAUGUAUGUUACUAUUGCUAGAUUGAUUCCCAGGUGAUACAAUGUAGAGUCGACAGUCGGUUGAUCAGGUCAAUGCAGGGAGGGAGGCAUGAUCCGUCCAGGUCAACAAGAGAAAUUAUGUGCACAUGUAGGGCGUAGGCACAUGCAUCAUUGUUUGAUCAUAUAUGCAAGUGGAUAUUGAAUGAGUAUUGUAUCUUCUAGACAUGGGGCAUGAAAUUGCGGUUCAGGAGAACUGGCGUGGGUUGUUUGGCAAGUUUUUUCCCUUUCAUUUAUAUUUUCCUUUUUUGCUAUGUAUAGACAACAAAAAUGGAAAUUUAUUUUUUCUAACCCAGAAGUUCAUUCUUCAUUUA